UGCCAGGGCUUCAGAGCACCUUCCUAGCCAUGGACACGGAGGAGGGGGUAGAGGUGGUGUGGAACGAGCUCCACUUUGGAGACAGGAAGGCCUUCGCGGCGCACGAGGUGAGACCGCUGCCCCCUCCUCAUCCUGCUUGGGUGACCACCUGCUGACCACCCAGCGACCACCCUCCCUCCCCAGGAGAAGAUCCAGACCGUGUUCGAGCAGCUGGUGCUGGUGGACCACCCGAACAUCGUGAAGUUGCACAAGUACUGGCUGGAUACCUCUGAGGCCUGCGCGAGGGUGAGCACGGGCAAGGCCCGGGGCAGGCAGAGACCACAGCUAGGUGGGGCGGGCAUGGGGACGAACCCGCAGCUGGUGGAAAUCCUGAGCUCGCACCCUGCAGGUCAUCUUCAUCACAGAGUACGUGUCAUCCGGCAGCCUCAAGCAAUUCCUCAAAAAGACCAAGAAGAACCACAAGGCCAUGAACGCCCGGGUAUGGGGAGCGGGCUGGGGCAGCCACGGGGACAGGACGGGGUUGGGGCAGCCUCGGGGACUGGGAUGGUGAGGGGGUGCCCGGCGGCCUCGGACGGGGGCUGGGCGAGGAUGCGGGGCGGGCUCCGCAGGCCCAGCCGCCUCUCCUGCGCCCACCCGACGGAGUCGUGCGUCCGCCGCCAGGCCUGGAAGCGCUGGUGCACGCAGAUCCUGUCUGCGCUCAGCUUCCUGCACGCUUGCAGCCCCCCGAUCAUCCACGGGAACCUGACCAGCGACACCAUCUUCAUUCAGCACAACGGCCUCAUCAAGAUCGGCUCCGUGUGGCACCGAAUCUUCUCCAAUGGUAAGUGCGGACUUUGGGGGGAUGGGGUCCUGGAGAGGUCCCCACCCGCUCAGCUCUGCGCCCUUCCACAGCGCUUCCAGAUGAUCUCCGAAGCCCCAUCCGCGCUGAGCGAGAGGAACUUCGGAACCUGCACUUCUUCCCCCCAGAGUAUGGCGGUGAGUGGCGCUGGGUCCGGGCGCCCCGUGCCUGCCCUGCGCUUCUCUCCUACCUGUCCUGUGCUCUCUUCUGUUCAGAGGUGGCCGAUGGGACCGCUGUGGACAUCUUCUCCUUUGGGAUGUGUGCGCUGGAGAUGGCUGUACUGGAAAUCCAGACCAAUGGGGACACCCGGGUAACAGAGGAGGCCAUUGCUCGCGCCAGGCACUCGCUGAGUGACCCCAACAUGCGGGAGUUCAUCCUUUGCUGCCUGGCCCGGGACCCUGCCCGCCGGCCCUCUGCCCACAGCCUCCUCUUCCACCGCGUGCUCUUCGAGGUGCACUCGCUGAAGCUCCUGGCAGCCCACUGCUUCAUCCAGCACCAGUACCUCAUGCCUGAGAAUGUGGUGGAGGAGAAGACCAAGGCCAUGGACCUGCACGCAGUCUUGGCGGAGCUUCCCCGGCCCCGCAGGCCCCCGUUGCAGUGGCGGUACUCGGAGGUCUCCUUCAUGGAGCUGGACAAAUUCCUGGAGGAUGUCAGGUGAGAACUGAUGUAAGGUUGGGGGCCAGGCAGCUGUCAGGCCUGAACCCCCAGCCACCCUGUUGUGUCCCCAGGAAUGGAAUCUACCCACUGAUGAACUUUGCAGCCACUCGGCCCCUGGGGCUGCCCCGUGUGCUGGCCCCACCCCCGGAGGAGGUCCAAAAGGCCAAGACCCCGACGCCAGAGCCCUUUGACUCUGAGACCAGAAAGGUCAUCCAGAUGCAGUGCAACCUGGAGAGAAGCGAGGACAAGGCGCGCUGGCAUCUCACUCUGCUUCUGGUGCUGGAAGACCGGCUGCACCGGCAGCUGACCUACGACCUGCUCCCAACGGACAGCGCCCAGGACCUCGCCUCGGAGCUCGUGCACUAUGGCUUCCUCCACGAGGACGACCGGAUGAAGCUGGCCGCCUUCCUGGAGAGCACCUUCCUCAAGUACCGUGGGACCCAGGCCUGACCCGGAGCCCCAGCCCCAGGGGACCAUGCCGGGGUGCUGCCCGGGCAGGCCAUGUUGGGGAGACCCCAGCACCGUGGGGCUGCCCUCCUCCAUGCGCCUGGGAGCACAAAGGCCCCGGUAGUGAAGGAACC
rnacentral:sRNA from 1 species